rnacentral:rRNA from 1 species
UUCUCCGGUCGGGUUAAGGACGGCCGGCGAAUUGUGGUCUGGAGAGACGGACUGUCCCCUUCCACCGCUCCGGACGGGCCCGAAGUCGACUUGGAACGGCGUGCCGGAGAGGGUGAGAGCCCCGUAGGGCCGGGAAACCGAGAGCGGGGGGACGAGGGUCCGUACUCGUCGAGUCGGGUUGUUUGGGAGUGCAGCCCAAAGCGGGUGGUAGACUCCAUCCAAGGCUGAAUACGGGCGCGAGACCGAUAGCGAACAAGUACCGUGAGGGAAAGGUGAAAAGCACUUUGAAGAGAGAGUCCAAGAGACCGUGAAACCGUUGGGAGGGAAGCCCAGGGCGUCGAGGCGGUAUCGGCUCCGAGUCGGGUUCAGUCGGCUAUUCCGGUAGGAUGGUCGGUGCAGUUCCGGCGGGAGUGCGACCGUCAGCAGGGUCCGAGGGCGAGGUGUAGCGCUCGUCGGGGCAGGUGGCUAGUUUGUGUCUCUCCGGAGCGCGGACAGCACUUAGAGUCCGUCGAUGCUGGUGCCUUGCGAACGGAUCGGUAGCGUGGAGCGUCAAGUCGCUCAAGAUGGUGUAGGCGCAGUUCUCGCUCAGGCGAGGAUCGGGUUCCGUCCGCGCCGUGGCCGGAUUCGCCGGAAGUUGGGUCGAGUUGUCGCUCCGGCGUACUCUCGACGGCUCCGGGGUCGAUCGGUGGCGGUCGGGCGAGAGCCAGGUGCUGCGCGUCGUCUGUUGGCGUGGAGUCGUCGCCCUGUGCCCCGUCUUGAAACACGGACCAAGGAGUGCAAAAGGCUCGCGAGUCGGAGGGAGCGGUGACCUG